GUUAUGGUUUUGCUCAUCAGUGCUGUUCAUCCUGUUUUUUUGCAGGCAUGUACCAGUUUCAUUUACAGCUAGAUAACCACCACAGGAUGCAUUUCCUGGACAAAUCAAUCAUUUAUUUUUUACAAUGUUCACAUUUGUCAUGGUGAUCUUGAGACCAAACAUAAUGGAAGAAAAUUCAGAAGACCCUUGAAAACCAACUAAAGGAUUGAAGCCUUUUCCCUCAUUGAGUUCAAGAAGAAAAGACAUGAAAACAGCAGCAAACUGAGGUUGGACUGGCGAAUUGACACCGAAGAUGGAUCACAGAUAAGUUUGAUUAAAUUAAACGUACAGCUUUUAUUCAUUUCUUUAUUGUGCCUGUAAUAGGCAUGUAAUAAAUGUGUUGUUACAUUAUUAGACAAUAUUAGGGUAGUUCUUUCAAUAAAAGUUUGUAGCUUAAAAAUGUUAUGAUUAUAUUAAGGAAUAACUAUAAUAUAUACAUUCAUUAUAUAAUUAAACAAUAUUUGUAUAAUUUAAAAAGUAGCAUAAGGAUUAUUUUUUAUUUGCUAGUCCUGUAUUUUUUAGUGUAGAUUAUUUUUUUUAUUGCUGGUCUUUGGAGGACCUUCGUCAGGGGGCGCACUUUCUUGGCGUGAUUUGUGAAACAGCACCGUUGUAAUGGGUUUGAAAUUCAGUAACCCCCAUCCACCCACAGUGUGUCAAAUUAAGACCCCUGUCCAAAGUGUGGAAAACCCUAAAGGAUUUGGUGGCAUGAUAAUAUACGAUCAAGAGACAUUCACCAUUAACAAGCCACACUUGGUGGCAGUUCCUGAUCAUAGAGCCUUGAUUAG